rnacentral:lncRNA from 1 species
AGCUAGUCCAGCUCACAGCGAGUCCAGCUAGUCCAGCUCACAGCUAGUCCAACUAGUCCAGCUCACAGCUAGUCCAACUCUCAGCUAGUCCAGCUAGUCCAGCUCACAGCUAGUCCAACUCACAGCUAGUCCAACUCACAGCUAGUCCAACUCUCAGCUAGUCCAACUCACAACUAGUCCAGAUAGUCCAACUCACAGUGUUACGAUUAAGAUCCCUUUAACAGGAGUCGCUAGUGAGUGAUGGGACAAGGACAUCCCUGCCGGCCAAACCCUCCCCUAACCCGGACGACGCUGGGCCAAUUGUGUGCCGCCCCAUGGGUCUCCCGGUCGCGGCCGGCUGCGACAGAGCCUGGUCUCGAACCCAGACCACUGUGCCACUCGGGAGGCCCGGCCCAACACUCUUAACCGCUAGGCUACCUUCCUACCAGAUUUUGGCAGGUUACUGGCUCGCCUUUCUAACCGCUAGGCUACCUUCCACGCUAACAGUCCAACACAGAGCUCAUUAGACAGCGGAUAAACACAAUACCUAAAACCAAGAGAUCUGGUGUAAAGCAUCUGUGAAAAAUUCAUUAUUUGUGAACAGUCCCUGAGGUGUUAUAGUCCUAGGAUGCUGUUUAACAGUCCCUGAGUUUUUACAGUCAUAGGAUUCUGUUAAAGACUCCCUGAGUUGUUACAGUCCUAGGAUGCUGUUUAAUAGUCCCUGAGUUGUUACAGUCCUAGGAUGCUGUUUAAUAGUCCCUGAGGUGUUACAGUCCUAGGAUGCUGUUUAAUAGUCCCUGAGGUGUUACAGUCCUAGGAUGCUGUUUAAUAGUCCCUGAGGUGUUAGUCCUAGGAUGCUGUUUAACAGUCCCUGAGAUGUUACAGUCCUAGGAUGCUGUUGAAGAGGUCUUGAGAUGUUUCACAUUGAGUUCAGACAAACAUAGAAUAUUCAUUCUUUAAUUAGGUUUAUACAUAUUCCAAACUCCCACAAAUAAAGAGCCAUGACAUUGACCGUACUGCUACACACACACACACACACACACACACACUCUGUUACAGUACAUAUCUCACUGAACCCUGCUUACUACAGGAUGUGGAAUCUGACGAUGGGACAUUAAUUGUCUUGUUUAAUUACAGCUACAGUAAGUGAUUAGAGCGGAGAGGAACUCCAAUCUCUGUUGGUG